CCGCCGCGUGAGCGAAGAAGGUUUUCGGAUCGUAAAGCUCUGUUGUGAGGGAAGAACAAGUACAGGAGUCACUGUCUGUACCUUGACGGUACCUUAUUAGAAAGCCACGGCUAACUACGUGCCAGCAGCCGCGGUAAUACGUAGGGCGCAAGCGUUAUCCGGAAUUAUUGGGCGUAAAGAGCUCGUAGGCGGUUUGUCGCGUCUGCCGUGAAAGUCCGGGGCUCAACUCCGGAUCUGCGGUGGGUACGGGCAGACUAGAGUGAUGUAGGGGAGACUGGAAUUCCUGGUGUAGCGGUGAAAUGCGCAGAUAUCAGGAGGAACACCGAUGGCGAAGGCAGGUCUCUGGGCAUUAACUGACGCUGAGGAGCGAAAGCAUGGGGAGCGAACAGGAUUAGAUACCCUGGUAGUCCAUGCCGUAAACGUUGGGCACUAGGUGUGGGGGACAUUCCACGUUUUCCGCGCCGUAGCUAACGCAUUAAGUGCCCCGCCUGGGGAGUACGGCCGCAAGGCUAAAACUCAAAGGAAUUGACGG
rnacentral:rRNA from 1 species